GGAAUUUUGGACAAUGGGGGCAACCCUGAUCCAGCAAUGCCGCGUGUGCGAAGAAGGCCUUCGGGUUGUAAAGCACUUUUGUCAGGGAAGAAAUCUUUUGGGCUAAUACCCCGGAAGGAUGACGGUACCUGAAGAAUAAGCACCGGCUAACUACGUGCCAGCAGCCGCGGUAAUACGUAGGGUGCGAGCGUUAAUCGGAAUUACUGGGCGUAAAGCGUGCGCAGGCGGCUUUGCAAGACAGAUGUGAAAUCCCCGGGCUCAACCUGGGAACUGCAUUUGUGACUGCAAGGCUAGAGUACGGCAGAGGGGGAUGGAAUUCCGCGUGUAGCAGUGAAAUGCGUAGAUAUGCGGAGGAACACCGAUGGCGAAGGCAAUCCCCUGGGCCUGUACUGACGCUCAUGCACGAAAGCGUGGGGAGCAAACAGGAUUAGAUACCCUGGUAGUCCACGCCCUAAACGAUGUCAACUGGUUGUUGGACGGCUUGCUGUUCAGUAACGAAGCUAACGCGUGAAGUUGACCGCCUGGGGAGUACGGCCGCAAGGUUGAAACUCAAAUGAAUUGACGG
rnacentral:rRNA from 1 species